GGUGUGAUAGAAAAUGAUUUAGAUAAUCUCAUCUGUACCUGGAAACCUGUCAAGAUAGGAUUCGCCAAGGACAAGGUUAAUUAGUCUGGUUUCCAGCAGUUGGGGCUGAUUCUGGACAAACAGUUGAGAACAAUAUUUUCUAAUCACGUGCUCAUAUCAGUAUGAUGAAAUUUUCCAGUAAUAUCUCCUAAGGGAACGUUUUUUCGAAGCAUCAAAUAAGAUAUCUCGUCGAAACCAUUUAUAGCGUAUUUUAUAAUAGUUCGAACCCAACCUUAUGACGGCCGAAAUAUUCUAGAACCCUCCUCACACAUUCACGUUUGAUUGUAAUGUCCUCACAAGUAAUUAAUUCUUUCCGCAAUUCGUGCGGCAGUGGUUGGAUUUUCUUGGAUUAAGGUGGUUACGAGUAGCUUGACGAAUACGUUUUUGUGCCAAAAGGAUUAGUCUAAUCUCUCGAAUUAUCGCAAGGUUUCGGAACGAUGGACCUUACCUAAGCGUGCCGCGUGUAUCUAGGCUUAGACAGAAAUCUAAUCAUGAAAUAUCUUUCACACCUACACAGAACAGAGCGUUAUGACCAUUAGUCCUACUUUAGUUUGUUAUGCGGAAAUUCUGAGUGGGUUUAGUCAUCCUUUUGGUACAAUAAAGUUUGCAUUUGAAAAAUGA